UGCCUUAUAGUGGGGGAUAGCCUUUCGAAAGGAAGAUUAAUACCGCAUAAGAUUGUAGUAUCGCAUGAUAUAGCAAUUAAAGGAGCAAUUCGCUAUAAGAUGGACCCGCGUCGCAUUAGCUAGUUGGUGAGGUAAUGGCUCACCAAGGCGACGAUGCGUAGCCGACCUGAGAGGGUGAUCGGCCACAUUGGGACUGAGACACGGUCCAGACUCCUACGGGAGGCAGCAUG
rnacentral:rRNA from 1 species